rnacentral:rRNA from 1 species
UUGAACGCUGGCGGCAGGCCUAACACCUGCAAGUCGAGCGGAUGAAGGGAGCUUGCUCCUGGAUUCAGCGGCGGACGGGUGAGUAAUGCCUAGGAAUCUGCCUGGUAGUGGGGGAUAACGUCCGGAAACGGGCGCUAAUACCGCAUACGUCCUGAGGGAGAAGGUGGGGGAUCUUCGGACCUCACGCUAUCAGAUGAGCCUAGGUCGGAUUAGCUAGUUGGUGGGGUAAAGGCCUACCAAGGCGACGAUCCGUAACUGGUCUGAGAGGAUGAUCAGUCACACUGGAACUGAGACACGGUCCAGACUCCUACGGGAGGCAGCAGUGGGGAAUAUUGGACAAUGGGCGAAAGCCUGAUCCAGCCAUGCCGCGUGUGUGAAGAAGGUCUUCGGAUUGUAAAGCACUUUAAGUUGGGAGGAAGGGCAGUAAGUUAAUACCUUGCUGUUUUGACGUUACCAACAGAAUAAGCACCGGCUAACUUCGUG